ACAUACAAUGACUCUCGGCAACGGAUAUCUCGGCUCUUGCAUCGAUGAAGAACUGCUUAGCGAAAUUGCGAUACUUGGUGUGAAUUGCAGAAUCCCGUGAACCAUCGAGUCUUUGAACGCAAGUUGCGCCCGAAGCCAUUAGGCCGAGGGCACGCCUGCCUGGGUGUCACA
rnacentral:rRNA from 1 species